GGCAGUGGCAGCUCAGGGGUUAAGCUGUUGGACUAUUGAUCGGAAGGUCGCGAGUUCAAAUCCCAGCACUGCCA